GACGAACGCUGGCGGCGUGCUUAACACGUGCAAGUCGAACGGAAAGGCCCUGCUUUUGUGGGGUGCUCGAGUGGCGAACGGGUGAGUAACACGUGAGUAACCUGCCCUUGACUUUGGGAUAACUUCAGGAAACUGGGGCUAAUACCGGAUAGGAGCUCCUGCUGCAUGGUGGGGGUUGGAAAGUUUCGGCGGUUGGGGAUGGACUCGCGGCUUAUCAGCUUGUUGGUGGGGUAGUGGCUUACCAAGGCUUUGACGGGUAGCCGGCCUGAGAGGGUGACCGGCCACAUUGGGACUGAGAUACGGCCCAGACUCCUACGGGAGGCAGCAGUGGGGAAUAUUGCACAAUGGGCGGAAGCCUGAUGCAGCAACGCCGCGUGCGGGAUGACGGCCUUCGGGUUGUAAACCGCUUUCGCCUGUGACGAAGCGUGAGUGACGGUAAUGGGUAAAGAAGCACCGGCUAACUACGUGCCAGCAGCCGCGGUGAUACGUAGGGUGCGAGCGUUGUCCGGAUUUAUUGGGCGUAAAGGGCUCGUAGGUGGUUGAUCGCGUCGGAAGUGUAAUCUUGGGGCUUAACCCUGAGCGUGCUUUCGAUACGGGUUGACUUGAGGAAGGUAGGGGAGAAUGGAAUUCCUGGUGGAGCGGUGGAAUGCGCAGAUAUCAGGAGGAACACCAGUGGCGAAGGCGGUUCUCUGGGCCUUUCCUGACGCUGAGGAGCGAAAGCGUGGGGAGCGAACAGGCUUAGAUACCCUGGUAGUCCACGCUGUAAACGGUGGGUACUAGGUGUGGGGUCCAUUCCACGGGUUCCGUGCCGUAGCUAACGCUUUAAGUACCCCGCCUGGGGAGUACGGCCGCAAGGCUAAAACUCAAAGGAAUUGACGGGGCCCCGCACAAGCGGCGGAGCAUGCGGAUUAAUUCGAUGCAACGCGUAGAACCUUACCUGGGUUUGACAUGGAUCGGGAGUGCUCAGAGAUGGGUGUGCCUCUUUUGGGGUCGGUUCACAGGUGGUGCAUGCCUGUCGUCAGCUUGUGUCGUGAGAUGUUGGGUUAAGUCCCGCAACGAGCGCAACCCUUGUUCACUGUUGCCAGCACGUUAUGGUGGGGACUCAGUGGAGACCGCCGGGGUCAACUCGGAGGAAGGUGGGGAUGACGUCAAGUCCUCAUGCCCCUUAUGUCCAGGGCUUCACGCAUGCUACAAUGGCUGGUACAGAGAGUGGCGAGCCUGUGAGGGUGAGCGAAUCUCGGAAAGCCGGUCUCAGUUCGGAUUGGGGUCUGCAACUCGACCUCAUGAAGUCGGAGUCGCUAGUAAUCGCAGAUCAGCAACGCUGCGGUGAAUACGUUCCCGGG
rnacentral:rRNA from 1 species